rnacentral:rRNA from 1 species
CACGUAAACAACCUGCCUCCAGGAUGGGGACAACAGACGGAAACGACUGCUAAUACCGAAUAAGUUCCAAGAGCCGCAUGGCCCAUGGAAGAAAAGGUGGCCUCUACCUGUAAGCUAUCGCCUGAAGAGGGGUUUGCGUCUGAUUAGCUGGUUGGAGGGGUAACGGCCCACCAAGGCGACGAUCAGUAGCCGGUCUGAGAGGAUGAACGGCCACACUGGAACUGAGACACGGUCCAGACUCCUACGGGAGGCAGCAUG